AUUGAACGCUGGCGGCAGGCCUAACACAUGCAAGUCGAACGAGUGGCGGACGGGUGAGUAAUGUCUGGGAAACUGCCUGAUGGAGGGGGAUAACUACUGGAAACGGUAGCUAAUACCGCAUACCAUCAGAUGUGCCCAGAUGGGAUUAGCUAUUGGGUGGGGUAACGGCUCACCAAGGCGACGAUCCCUAGCUGGUCUGAGAGGAUGAUCAGACAAACUGGGAUUGAGACACGGUCCAGACUCCUACGGGAGGCAGCAGUGGGGAAGAUUGCACAAUGGGCGAAAGCCUGAUGCAGCCAUGCCGCGUGUAUGAAGAAGGCCUUAGGGUUGUAAAGUACUUUCAGCGGGGAGGCGUUACCAGCAGAAGAAGCACCGGCUAACUCCGUGCCAGCAGCCGCGGUAAUAC
rnacentral:rRNA from 1 species